rnacentral:rRNA from 1 species
UACGAAGGGGGCUAGCGUUGCUCGGAAUCACUGGGCGUAAAGCGCACGUAGGCGGCUUUUUAAGUCGGGGGUGAAAUCCUGGAGCUCAACUCCAGAACUGCCUUCGAUACUGGAAAGCUCGAGUCCGGGAGAGGUGAGUGGAACUGCGAGUGUAGAGGUGAAAUUCGUAGAUAUUCGCAAGAACACCAGUGGCGAAGGCGGCUCACUGGCCCGGUUACUGACGCUGAGGGUGACGAACGGGAUGGGCAAACAGGG